UUAGUGGCGGACGGGUGAGUAACGCGUGGGUAACCUGCCUUACACAGGGGGAUAACACUUAGAAAUAGGUGCUAAAACCGCAUAAGCGCACAGCUUUGCAUGAAGCAGUGUGAAAAACUCCGGUGGUGUAAGAUGGACCCGCGUCUGAUUAGCUUGUCGGCGGGGUAACGGCCCACCAAGGCGACGAUCAGUAGCCGGCCUGAGAGGGCGGACGGCCACAUUGGGACUGAGACACGGCCCAGACUCCUACGGAAGGCAGCAG
rnacentral:rRNA from 1 species